GCAUGGCUGUCGUCAGCUCGUGUCGUGAGAUGUUGGGUUAAGUCCCGCAACGAGCGCAACCCCCGUCCUUAGUUGCUACCAUUUAGUUGAGCACUCUAAGGAGACUGCCGGUGAUAAGCCGCGAGGAAGGUGGGGAUGACGUCAAGUCCUCAUGGCCCUUACGGGCUGGGCUACACACGUGCUACAAUGGCGGUGACAAUGGGAUGCUAAGGGGCGACCCUUCGCAAAUCUCAAAAAGCCGUCUCAGUUCGGAUUGGGCUCUGCAACUCGAGCCCAUGAAGUUGGAAUCGCUAGUAAUCGUG
rnacentral:rRNA from 1 species